AGGUAAAGUGGCUGAAUAGGUGUUAAGUUGUAGCCUUAAUGAUAGAGGUUUAAACCCUCUCUGUACCAA
rnacentral:tRNA from 1 species